UGCCAGCAGCCGCGGUAAUACGUAGGGAGCGAGCGUUAUCCGGAAUUACUGGGCGUAAAGCGCGCGUAGGCGGCCUGCUAAGUUAGAGGUGAAAUCCCGGGGCUCAACCCCGGAACUGCCUUUAAAACUAGCAAGCUAGAGGAUGUGAGAGGAGUGUGGAAUUCCGAGUGUAGAGGUGAAAUUCGUAGAUAUUCGGAAGAACACCAGUGGCGAAGGCGACACUCUGGCGCAUUUCUGACGCUGAGGCGCGAAAGCGUGGGGAGCAAACAGGAUUAGAUA
rnacentral:rRNA from 1 species